rnacentral:rRNA from 1 species
GACGAACGCUGGCGGCGUGCCUAAUACAUGCAAGUCGAGCGGACUUUCAAGAAGCUUGCUUUUUGAAAGUUAGCGGCGGACGGGUGAGUAACACGUGGGCAACCUGCCUGUAAGACGGGGAUAACUCCGGGAAACCGGGGCUAAUACCGGAUAAUAUCUUUCUUCGCAUGAAGGAAGGUUGAAAGGCGGCGCAAGCUGCCGCUUGCAGAUGGGCCCGCGGCGCAUUAGCUAGUUGGUGAGGUAACGGCUCACCAAGGCGACGAUGCGUAGCCGACCCGAGAGGGUCAUCGGCCACACCGGGACUGAGACACGGCCCAGACUCCUACGGGAGGCAGCAGUAGGGAAUCGUCCGCAAUGGACGAAAUUCUGACGGAGCAACGCCGCGUGAGCGAAGAAGGUCUUCGGAUCGUAAAGCUCUGUUGUCAGGGAAGAACAAGUACCGUUCGAAUAGGGCGGUACCUUGACGGUACCUGACCAGAAAGCCACGGCUAACUACGUGCCAGCCGCCGCAGUAA